ensembl:misc_RNA Metazoa_SRP Metazoan signal recognition particle RNA
ACCAGGUGCAGUGGCACGUGUCUGUAGACCCAGCUACUCGGGAGGCUAAGGCUGGAGGAUCGCUUGAGUCCAGGAGUUCUAGGCUGUAGUGCACUGUGCCUAUUGGGUGUCCUCAUUAAGUUUGGCAUCAAUAUGGUGACCUCCCAGGAGCAGGAUGCCAACAGGUUGCCUAAGGAGGAGUGAACUGGUCCAGGUCAGAAACAGAGCAGGUCAAAACUCCCGUGCUGAUCAGUAGUGGGAUUGCACCUGUGAAUAGCCACUGCACUCUAGCCUGGGCAACAUAGUGAGACCCUGUCUCUU